UGGGGAAUAUUGGACAAUGGGGGGAACCCUGAUCCAGCGAUGCCGCGUGUGUGAAGAAGGCCUGCGGGUUGUAAAGCACUUUAGUUGGGGAGGAAGGUUAGAUGGUUAAGAGCUGUUUAAUUUGACGUUACCCAAAGAAUAAGCACCGGCUAACUCUGUGCCAGCAGCCGCGGUAAUACAGAGGGUGCAAGCGUUAAUCGGAAUUACUGGGCGUAAAGGGCGCGUAGGCGGAUAAUCAAGCUGGAUGUGAAAGACCCGGGCUUAACCUGGGGGUGUCAUUCAUAACUGGUUAUCUAGAGUAUGGGAGAGGAGAGUGGAAUUUACAGUGUAGCGGUGAAAUGCGUAGAUAUUGUGAGGAACAUCGAUGGCGAAGGCAGCUCUCUGGCCUGAUACUGACGCUGAGGCGCGAAAGCAUGGGUAGCGAACAG
rnacentral:rRNA from 1 species